GACCUCGGAUCAGGCAGGACCACCCGCUGAACUUA
rnacentral:rRNA from 1 species